rnacentral:rRNA from 1 species
GAUGAACGCUGGCGGCGUGCCUAAUACAUGCAAGUCGAGCGAACAGACGAGGAGCUUGCUCCUCUGACGUUAGCGGCGGACGGGUGAGUAACACGUGGAUAACCUACCUAUAAGACUGGGAUAACUUCGGGAAACCGGAGCUAAUACCGGAUAAUAUAUUGAACCGCAUGGUUCAAUAGUGAAAGACGGUUUUGCUGUCACUUAUAGAUGGAUCCGCGCCGCAUUAGCUAGUUGGUAAGGUAACGGCUUACCAAGGCAACGAUGCGUAGCCGACCUGAGAGGGUGAUCGGCCACACUGGAACUGAGACACGGUCCAGACUCCUACGGGAGGCAGCAGUAGGGAAUCUUCCGCAAUGGGCGAAAGCUUGACGGAGCAACGCCGCGUGCGUGAUGAAGGUCUUCGGAUCGUAAAACUCUGUUAUUAGGGAAGAACAAAUGUGUAAGUAACUAUGCACGUCUUGACGGUACCUAAUCAGAAAGCCACGGCUAACUACGUG